rnacentral:lncRNA from 1 species
AAAAACAAAACGUAAACAAGAAAGAAAGAGAAAUUAGAGCUCAGAUUUAUCUGAGUUAGAGAGCCCACAGAUCUGCUGCCACAAGUCAGAUCCAAAAGGAACAGAGAACACACAAGAAAAGGAAAAGACACCGGAACAAAAAGGCAUGAUCGCUGAUGCCCGUCGGAAAGCCCACAAGAAGUCUCGCAGUUUGUCGUAGCCUAUAAUCAUCGGUGGACACAGUAGAAGCUGGUAGUCACCUGGAUUCUUUAGUGGUCGCCGGUAGUGGUGCUUGAGUUCUCUGGUGGUCGCCUUCUAUCACCUGCAUUCUCUGAUGGUCACCUGUGGUCGUCUGAGCUCUCUCUCUGCUGGUCGCCUUCUUUUGCCUGGGUUCUCUGGUGGUCGUCUGAGGGUCGCUGUAAUUCAAUUUCCUUUGAUUUUUUGCUAUGGUAUUUUUUGUGUUGUUUUAACAAACAAGUGGCGUUCUCUAAUGUGGUAAUGGUUUGACUUGGUAACAAACUGGAUUGAAU